GACAGCAGCCGCCGCGGUAAUACGAAGGGUGCAAGCGUUACUCGGAAUUACUGGGCGUAAAGCGUGCGUAGGUGGUGGUUUAAGUCCGUUGUGAAAGCCCUGGGCUCAACCUGGGAAUUGCAGUGGAUACUGGGUCACUAGAGUGUGGUAGAGGAUAGUGGAAUUUCCGGUGUAGCAGUGAAAUGCGUAGAGAUCGGAAGGAACAUCUGUGGCGAAGGCGACUAUCUGGGCCAACACUGACACUGAGGCACGAAAGCGUGGGGAGCAAACAGGAUUAGAUACCCCCGUAGUCCCUGUCUCUUAUAC
rnacentral:rRNA from 1 species